rnacentral:rRNA from 1 species
GCUGAAACUCGCCUACAUGAAGCUGGAGUUACUAGUAAUCGCAGAUCAGAAUGCUGCGGUGAAUGCGUUCCCGGGUCUUGUACACACCGCCCGUCAAACCACGGGAGUUGGAGACGCCCGAAGCCGAUUAUCUAACCUUUUGGAAGAAGUCGGCGAAGGUGGAAUCAAUAACUGGGGUGAAGUCGUAACAAGGUAGCCGUAUCGGAAGGUGCGGCUGGAUCACCUCCUUUCUAAGGAGA